rnacentral:lncRNA from 1 species
AUUGUAAUCUUUGCAGUUGGUGAAAUAUAAUUUUAUUCCCGUUUGUGACACUGUGGAGGCCUAAAAAUACGGUAACCAAUCAGAAAUGGAUUCACACUGAACUAGAGUACCUAUAUUGAGAGAGUAUGGCCACUGGUGUUACCACCUCUGAUUGGCUCAGCCAUCUUAGGCUGAAUGAAGCCCCAGGACCCAAAAAUGGCGGACGCCAUAAGUUAAUGUAAUGCAAAAUGACUCAAAAUGUGGUUUUCUUUGCUUAUCGUAACGAGAAAUUUACCCAUGCACUAUUGCGACUUCUACAUAUUUUAAGGCUAAUCGUGUGCGAUUUUCGAGAAUUAUUAUCUUAGAUGUAGUAAGGUUGGCAGCAAGUGCGGUUGGUGAUAACCGUCAAAAGUUGGCAAUGACCCUCCUCCCAUCCUCAAAAACCAAAACAAAGCACCGCCAUUUUUGGGUCCUAAGCCUCUCCAUGGGGCCCAGUGGCCGUACUCUCUAAUAUCGGACCUUACAUUGGACUCUAGUCUCUGCUUACCAAUGGUCGUGAUGACGGUGAGGGAGUAGAGGAAGGCACCGGCGAAGGACCAGCGGUUGGUUGGAGUGGAAGUCCUCGCCCUCGUAGCCGAACUUCUGGACCUCCUCGAUGAUCUUGCGCUGGUAGGCCAUGAGGCUGGCGUUGACGCGCUCCCGCCACUCCUGCUCCGAGAAGACGUUGACCGAGCAGCACGUGAGCUCCCACAGGACGUCGGCCGUUCGGUUGCGGAACUCCACCAUGCUCUGCACCCGGGAGCUGUACAGCGGGCCCUCGAUGUACUGGAACAACACCGCGCCCCCGAUCGUGUAGCCCACCACCAGGCAGAUGAUCCCUAUGUUGCUGAACAGGAACGCCACAAACUGACGCAAGUAAUCCUCGCACUUCUCGCUCCAGGACUUCUGCCGCCGCCCGUAACGCGGCCCGUAGUACCGCACUGGCUCCAUGACGCACUCCGCCCUUCACUACCCUUACGCACCUCACACUUACAGACGGGUACUCGACAGUUCGCCGGGAAACUUGCAGACGGAUUCACUAAAGCUCGCAGAAAACUCGUAGGAGGGAUUUUCGACCGUUUCCAGAGGACUUGCAGACGGAUUCUUGACACUUCUCAGAAAGAUCGCGAAAGGAAUUUAGACUGUUUCCGGAGGAUUUGCAGACGGAUUCAUAAAGUUCGCAGAAAACUCGUAGAGGAUUUUCGACCGUUUCCGGAGGACUUGCAGACGGGUUCUUGACAGUUCUCAGAGAACUCGCGAAAGGAUUUCCGGCUGUCUCCAGAGGACUUACAGACGGAUUCUUGACAGUUCUCAGAAGAUCGCGAAAGGAAUUUAGACCGUUUCCAGAGGAAUUGCAGACGGAUUCUUGACGAAUCUCGGAAAAAUCAAAGAAGGGUUUUCGACCGUUUCCGGAGGACUUGCAGACGACUUCUUGACAGUUCUCAGAAAACUCGCAGAAGGGUUUUCGACCCUUUCCAGAGGACUUGCAGACGGAUUCUUGACGAAUCUCAGAAAAAUCGAAGAGGGGUUCUCGACAGAACCCGGAGAAUUUGCAAAACUCACGACCGUUUGUGAUCUUUCCAGAAUCGGAACACUUGCGAACGGGUUCUCGCCGGUUCCCGUGAGCCUCGCGCGAGGAUUCGUUUGAGUUGCAACACUCGUGAACCGACAAGAGUCGAUCCGCGUCCAACUCCGAGUUACCUUGCGAUUUGGAACACUCACAAUUCGGCUCGUAAAAAUCGCGGUAUAACUCACACAGUUGAUUCUGCGAUCUCCGACACUCGCCGUUCAACUCACGAAAGUUACCGUGGGAUUUGAAACUCUCACGAUGCGACUUGCGACGGUAAACGUCCGACUGGUGGAAGUCGCGAUGAGACGCGCUAGGUUUGUCGUUUGAUUGCCGACCCUCGCUUUGUGACUCCCGACAGUGACGGCACGACUCCCAAGAAUCGAGAUAAUUUAAAACUAGAGCUAAUAUCACAGACGGAGGGGCUCACAGCGUCACAUAGUAACAGCGCGUUGCUGGCUUUUACAGCUAGCGCAACCGGAACAUGGCCUCCUUUUCAGCUUCACUGUAACAGACCAAGAAGAAAGUGUACAAGAUUGUCGAGGUGAUUAUCUUUGAAAUAUUAUGACCCAAUUUCAUCAGUCAAAUCGAAUCGUAUUUAAAUAUUUUGA